AGGCGGUCCCCGCGCGGUCACCCGGGUCCGGGAGCGCACCCUCCGGUGACUCUUCUAUCCCGGCCUCUGGUCCCAGCGGCGGGGGAAGUUCCUGGGACCGGCCGGGUUUAAGAGACUAAGAUGUCUUCACCAGCCACCUCCCCUUCAGCAAUGACUCUGAUCACGUUUCUGUGGUGUCAUCCUUCUCUGCCUGGCCUGUGCUUUGAAGGCAGCAGGUGUCAGAUGUAGUCACUUCUGAAGUUCAUCAUCCAAGUGGGCAUCUUUGACCUGCUCUACUGGACUGACUGCAAAAAUGCCUCAUCCCCUGCUUGGUCCAUAGUGAUGCCAGCCUGUGGUAAUUGGAACCUGGUCUGCCAGACCAAAUGGAGGAAGUCUGCCAGGCAGAUGUGGAACCCAAAAGAGGAACUUCACCAACUGCUGUGGACAGCUCUAGCACUUCAUGCCCCCGUGGACUUUUGGGGAAGUAUUUUUGUGGCUCACCAGUCUCUCAUUAGGCAAAGGUCACUUGUCCUGUCUUGGCCUUCUCUACUGGUGGAAAGUACGGCUGGGAGAUUUGGAAUGGUUGCUGUUUGACUUUGAUUCUUGGCACGACUGUCACCAUGAGCUUUUUUGCUGACUCACUCUUGCUGCAGCAUGGAAGGAUGGAUUGGAGGGGAAGCAGAAAGGCCAUCAGCCCCACUGUGAACUACUGUGGAAUAGGCAGGGGAGGAUUGCUUCAUGGUCAAAAGAUGGCUGUUGGAGAUCCAGUCUGCGUGUCUCAAACAGGAAGAAGGAGAAAGGACCAAAUGCAAAUGGUACAUAAUAGCAGAGUAUACCCUCUUUGAAUGAUUUCCUGGAAGCCCCACACCAAGGUACUCAAAGAAUGCUGCUCAUUAAGAUUGGAAGCACGGAGGAGGGGAGUGUGAGGCUCAGCGAGGUGCAGUCGGAGGAGGCUUCCCGGGCGAGCGGUAUCUGGGUUGUAUUCAGGCCAAGGGGGGAGCCGGUAAAGAAGGUGGGGAGGGUGUCACAAGCAGAGGGAGCGGCACGCAGGUGUGAAAGCUCGUGGUGUGUGCUCAGAGCUCAUGGUGAGAAACGUCUGGUGAGUCUGGGCCCCAAGGUCAAGGUAGGAAGCAGGACAGGCUGAGGUGGAGAGGAAGGCAGUGUUUGGGACUUGGACAGCUUGUGUGCCAUGAUGAGGAGCCCGCAGCCCUGCCGCCCCAUCUCCUGGGGAUGGUUUCUGAGGGUGGAUGUGAUCACAUUCACAGACAGGGAAUUAGCUGAUCUGAACAAUGCUUGGAUUAUUGGCAUCUGUCAGCUGCUACCUGUUAACCAAAGGCCCAAGGCUCAAACUCUGCCAGGCUCCUCUGGGAACAGGCCAAGAAUCAAAUAAUGAUGGCCACUUUGGCAGAAAGGGAAUGCUAAUAGCUGGAGGCUGAUCUUAUGACUGGAAGAAAGGAAGGCUGUUGUAGGUUUUCAUAGGGAUAGAAAAACAAGUUCACGCUAGGUUUCUACAGGGCUUUAUUCCCCAUUAGCAGAUAAGAACAGAUUUGUUUAUCAGAUUCUCCUAGAAAUUAAGGUGUUAAGGCAGCUGAAGAGGUAAAUUCUGAGGUGAGAGGAGGAGGAGGUGCUGGGGAGACAGGGGUACAUUAUAGUUAAGGGACGACAGGGACAGCGAAGGGCCAGCUGGGGCCUCAGCAGGGAGGUUGAGUAGAAAGAGCUCUUGACACAAGUUCAAAGUCUUGGGGCCACCUCUGACCCCAAGUUCCCAGAAACAACAUACAGUGUUCUGUAAAACAUGGAUGAUAACACUUGCUCGACUGGCCUGACCAGGCUGUUUGAUCAAAUGAGAAAAUAUACGUCUGCAAAGACACUUUGUGAGGGGCACCUUGAAUAAAAUCCAACCUCCGCCUCAAUCUCCCAGGCCUUCUGACGGAUUAUAGGACACACCAGCCUCUUUCCCACCUUUGUCCACAUGUUCCUUUUUCUGCCUAGAACAUUCUUCUGCCAGUUCUUUCUACAGUUCAUCUCAGUUUAUAUGCCACUUCCUCAGAAAGGCCUUCCCUGCCCUAUUGAAAACACGCACUCCCCUCUGACCCUCUCCUGCCCAAGAUAGCUUGUGGUUAAGGACUCAGGCUCUGAAGCAAGUCUCUGGGGUUCAAGUUCAGCUCUGACACAUACCAGCUGUGUGACCUUGGGCAGUCACCCAAACUCCUUGUGCUUCUGUUUCCACAUGUGUAAGAUGAAGAUCAUAAUAUUUAUCUCACAAAGUGGUAGAGACAAAGAUGACUUCAUUAGGUGUCAGCUAUUAUUACUGUUCAUCAGAGUGCUCUAUUUCCUUUCUAGAACUAACCAUGUCUGUAAUUAAUUUGUCUGUAUAUGUUUAUUAUCCAACACUCACCCUUUUCCAUAAUGGGCUCCCCAUGAGGGCAGCGAUCAUGUCUUGCUGAUCCAUUCUUAUAUACCAUGUGUAUAGCACAGUAUAGCCUGGAACCUAGAAGAUGCUCAAGAAAUAGUUGUUGGAUGAGGAAUGUACUGAAUGAGCAUUUCCCAGAACCAAGCCCUGGGGUGACCCAGGCAGUCCCGGGACCAGCCAAGGAAGUGGUCAGAUGGCCCUGCUUUGCAUUUCAUUCUCCCCUUGGUAGGGCUUUCACUUAUGUAAUGGAACAGCAGUGAAAUCCCACGAUACCUAAGUACUUCCCCUCCAGCCAGCCCAGUAUACGACCACAAAAAGGGGGAAGAAAAAGUAAGAGAAAGAGAAGAGCUCCAAACUGCAUGCUUCUUGGGACAGAAAAAUGAGCUCUGUUUUCUCCCAGAGUCAUGUGAGGGCACAGUGGCAGAUGGGGGGGAAUGUUUUACUGAGCUUCAGAGCAACCAAGCAGUGAAGAAUCAAGGGCCCCAGCCUGAGUGUCAGCAGUUGAGGCUUUUUCCACCUCUGCACCUAACUUGCUGUGCAACCUUCAUCAAGUGACUUUCCCUCUCUGGGUCUCCUAAAUGUCCUCAUCUGCAAAUUGAAGAGAUUGGAAUAAAUGAUUAAGGUAGAGCCGUCAUGCAGUCCUGGUUUUGCCUAUAGAUCUGGUAUAAUAAUUAACAAUAACCUCUUUCAUUCUCUAAGUGACCUGUACUAGGUGAUAAAUUAUAAAAUCAGUUUGAUUCAAAUCACUCCGUUUCCAUUUUUUGGAUAUGAUAAACAAUACUGCAGUGAAGUUCCUCAUACAUUCCUUUAUUCAACAAAUAUUUGAUAAGCACCUGUUAUGUACAAGGUAUGGUUCUAUGCUCUGGGGAUACUGGAGGAAUAAGAUAGAUAAGAUAACUGUGGAAAAUACAUUCUUGUGAGGGAGAUAGAUAAUAAACGAGAAAACAACAACAACAAAAUAAAUUUUAGCUAGUUAUGAAGAAAAUAAAGGAGAACAAUGUGCUAGAUAGUGAUAGGAGGUGCUACUUUAUAAAGUGUGGCGGGGGAAGGUCUCUUUGAAGAGGUCACAUUUGAGCUGAGACCUGAAUGAUAAGAAGGAGCCAGUUAUGCAAAGUCCCAGGGAGAAUGUACAGCAAAUGCAAAGACCCUGAGGUAGGAACAGCUCUUUGUGUUUGAAGAGUAGAAACAGAGACAGUAUGACUAAAGUACAGCAAGUGGUUGGAAAUGAGGUUAGACAUAUAGGCAGGGGCCAGAUCAUAUAGGGUCAAGGAGUUUGAGUUUUAUUCUUAGUGCAGAAUAUCUGGUUGUAUUUUAAUCACUGGAAAAUCAUAGAAUAAAACUAGCUCUAUGUAGAAUGGACUGUGAGCAAAAAACUUCAUGUAUCUGGUUAGCUACAGCACAGAAAGCCGUAACUUCACCCUAGGCUGUGUGGCACCCCGGGAGAGAAUGAACAGCAGAGUCAGAGAGAUCUGUGUUCAAAUUCCAGCUCCAUUGGUAUAUAUCCAAAAGAAGUGAAAGUGGCGUCUUGAAGAGAUAUUUGUAUGUCCAUGUUCAUAGCAACAUUAUUCACAAUAGCCACGAGAUGGAAACAACCCAAGUGUCCAUUCAUGAAUGAGUGGAUAAACAAAACGUAGUAUAUAAAUACAAUGGAAUAUUAUUCAGACUUGAAAAAGGAAGGAAAUUCUGACACAUGUUAAGGAAGGAAAUUCUGACACAUGUUACAAUAUGGAUGACCCUUGUGGGUAUUAUGCUAAGUGCAAUAAGCCAGAUACAAAAAAACAAAUACUUUAAAGUUCCACUUACAUGAGGUACCUAAAAUAGUCAGAUUCAGAGAGACGGAAAGUAGAACGGUGGUUGCCAAGGGCUAGGAAGAGGUGGGAAUGGGGAGUUGUUUAAUGGGCAUGGAGUUUCAGUUUUGCAAGAUGAAAAAGAAUUCUGGAGAUUGGCUGCACAGUAAUGUGCAUGUACUUAAUACUACUGAACUGUAUACUUAAAAAUGGUAAAAGAUAGUAAAUUUUAUGUUAUUUGUGUUUUACUAUAAUUAAAAAAAGGUUUUAAAAAAAAAAAAAGGUUUUAAAUUCCAGCUCCAUCACAUACGGGCAGUGUGAUUUGGCUGUUAAUCUCUCUGAGCCUCAGUUUUUGCAUAUGUAAAAGGGUGACAGUAAUACCUCCUAGCUCUUGUGUAGACAGGCUCAGAUGCUGUCUAUUCCAAUAUUCCACUGCACAAUUUGGAAUCUCAGGCUUCCCAGCCUUCCCAGGCAGCUAAAAGACCCUUUCAGUGAAUCUUGAUUGAGUUGCCCUUGUACCUAAUACACAGUAGAUGCUCAAUGAACAUUUGUUGAUUGACUUGCUGACUGGAUCCGCUUGUGUAGUAGACAUGAUCUAGAAGGAGCCAUAUGUGUAGAGAACUAUGUACCUGGUACCUAGUUGGCAUUCCAUAAAUAUUUAUGGAACAGGUGAAUGAACAAAGUGGAUGACACAUCUGGCCACGAAUUGUAAAACAAUCUGCCUGUUCCAAAAUAUAUGAGAGAUUUUUUUUUCCUAUCUGGUACCAUAAUAGUUGCUUCAGAAAGCAAACUAACUGAAAGCCCUGCUGACUGAGUCUCAUAUUAACAUCUGUAUUAGUUUUCUAUUGCUAGAAAAUAACUUCCACAAAUAUAGCGGUUUAAACAACACCAAUUUAUUACCUUACAGUUCUGUAGGUCAGACUUUUGACAUGGGUCUCAGCAGGGUAAAAUCAAGGUGUCAGCAGAGCUGUGUUCAUUACUGGAGGUUCUAGGGGAAGGAUCUGUUUCCUUGCACAUUUGGAUUGUUUGCAAAAUUCAGUUUCUUGUGGUUGUAGGACUGAGAUGCUGUUUCCUUGCUGGCUGUCAUUGAGGACUAUUCCCAGCUUCUAGAGCCACUCACAUUCCUUGACUUGUGUCCACUUCCUCCAUCUUGAAAGUCAGCAACUCUUCUUCUUCCCUCUCAUCUUUCUGACCCAGCACAGAAAGGUUCUCCAUCUUUAAGGAGCCAAGUAAUUAGAUUAGGUUCACCUGGAUAAUCCAGGAUACUCCUCCCAUCUCAAGGUCCUUAACCUUAAUCCCACUCAUGAAAUCCCCUGGAAAAAUUGAAAGAUUCUGGGGUUAAGUCAUGAAUAUCUUUGGAGGGUUAUUACUCUGUCUACCACUGCAUCCAGUAUCACUUUGGAAGGAUUGGCUUCUCAGAGCAGGUAAUUUUCUCUCAGCAAAGAGCUAUGGGAAAUGAGGCCAGUGGAAGGGAAUUUUGGAUAAAGGGAAGAGAGAUGAGGCAUUGACCAUAAAUGUGUUAGCAGGCCUGCGAGGGAUGCUACAGAAAGAGGUUCUUGGCUUCAUGGAAUCCAGGUUGCUCAAAGAAGAAAGAAAUACUUAACAAAUGCCAGAAAGUUAAACUUUGUGUGUCUUAUAGUUUCCUUUCUGAUUCUGAUCUGUUCUGCCAAGGAGGAAGUAAUCUUCACCUGCCAUGAAUAACCGUUAGUACCUUGCCCCAUGAUUUUAAUUUGUUAAUUGAUGGGUUGUUAUUGGUUCAUUGCUACCAAUAAUUGAAGGAUGUUUUCUUUGCUGGCUUGGUGAAGCUUCCAGAUGUUAUCAGAACAGGCAUGACUUUGGCUCACCCAGCUCAUGGCAUUGGCUCUGAAUGCUGUCAUGGCUCCGAUAGUGGGUUCAGCCACUAAUCAAGGACCUGGUGGUGUGUGACACAGACCUUUACGUCAUUUCUGGAUCUUCCUCUCCACAGAGUCCAGAUCUUACAACUGAAAACACUCCUUGGGAUUACCCAGCUCUCAACUUUCACAUUACAAGAAAGAAAACUGAAGGUGCAAAAAUGGCAGGUAGUUGGCCCAGCAGAUUUGGGGCAGAAUUGGGGUUGACCUCAGAUCUUCCCACCCUGACUGGGAGUCUGGCUGCCUAUCUACCCCCUCGCCCAGUGCCAAAAACACCUCCCGAUUCUAAAAGUCUUCUAGUAAAAUCGAUGCUCCAAGAAGAUAACCUGUGUUGACCAGUGACUUUGGAUAUCUUAUGUGUGGAUCCCAGCCUGGAGCUUUGUGUACUCAAGUUUGAGAAGCAUGGAUUAGCCAGGAGUUGGCAAACAUUUUUUUUUUUGUAAAGAGCCAGACAAUAAACAUUUAGGCUUUGUGAGCCAUACUGUUUCUGUUACAAAUACUCAACCCUGUCUUGUAGUGUAUCAAGAGCAGCCAUAGACAAUAUACAAAUGAAUUGGAUGGCUGUGUUCCAAUAAAACUUUAUUUACAAAACAAACAGAUUUGGCCCAUGGCCUGGAUUUGGCCUGCAGGCUGUAGUUUACCAACUCCUGGGUUCGACAAUAAAUGCCCAAGAGAUUAUAAAAGGAAAAUAUUUUCAGCUGGGACAAAUAAGAAAGAAGAGUGGGAGUAGAAAUUCCAUUGAUCAUUGAAGGCUACACAGUAUUUCAAAGAGCAGAGAGGACAUGGCAGCAUUAUUAAUAGAGGGCCAGUAUAGACAAAAGCGAGUAUUUUUAGGUUUACAUAUAGGUAGGGGACAGGGAGGACAGUAAGUAAAUCAGUUUGGCUUGAGGAAGGAACUCAUGUCCAAGAGAAGCAUUCUAAAAUAUCAGGGCUGGAAGGGACUUUGCUGAUUAUUUGCUUCUCAUUGUAUUUCCCAUUGAUGGGGAAAUCGAGGUCAAAAGAGACCCCAGAUCUGGAAAGAAGCUGAAGAGUGGUGUGCCUUGAAUACGAAUGUAAGGGAUCUCUGUUGUGCCAUGUACCAGCUAGUGAUGUUUCAGCAUUUCAUCAUUUGAAUGUUUAUUCAUUAAUCAACUUCCUACAUAUCCUGUGACCAGAUGUCCCAAGAGAAUUUCCUUUGGGAUGGAGUUAAUUCUCAUCCAUUGUAUACCAUUGUGAACUAGCCCCAUAGAGAUAGUGACAAGACACACCUGGAGCAAUCAACUGGACAAUUGCCAAGGAUCCAGAAACUUUAGCUUCUCCUCCUGCUGUCAACUUGCUCUGUAAUGUGGACCAAAUCCUGAGCUCUCCUCUGGUUUUCCCCUUGGUUAAACAAGAAGCACUCAUCCUUGUCCUUCCAUCAGAACCGGUGACCUGUUAUUCUGUCACUUCUCUGCCCCUUUCUCCCACCACCAACAUCAAAGUCAUAAAGGACCAGAGGACCCUGGAGUGGGAGGUGCCACAACUUUGCGUGACCCCGAUAUUCAUUCACUGAUUUGUUUUCCCACUAAUUAUUGACCACUUCCCAUGCACUGGAUGCUGAGGAUAAACAAUGAACGAGGUAAGCAGGCUUCUGCCCUCACAGAGCUCACAUUAUAGUGGUAUGAGAUGGUGGGGAACAUAAUGUACAAGUCAACAAAUAAAAGAAUUUCAACUGGAGAUAAGUGCUGUGAACAAAAUUGAACAAGGUAUUGUGAUAAUGACUAGAGGGGCUCUUUUGGCUGGUCUAGCAAGGGAAGACCUCUUUGAGGAGAGACCUGAAGGAUGAGAAGAGCCACCGACGGAGCCUUCUGGCUAAAGGAAGAGCAAGGGGCAAAGGCCAUGAGUGUGCACUGUUCGAGGUACAGAGGGAAGGCGUGUGUGUCUGCAGGGUGGUGGGUGAGGGGAAGAUGGAUGGUAGACAAAGAUGAAGAGGUUGACAACAUGAAAUUGAUGAGUUUUCAUCUGGGCAAUCCAGUGACUCAAUCUGGUUUAUAUUUUUAAAAGAGCAUCCAGGCUGUUACCUGGAGAAUGACUUGGAGGGAUUAAGAGUAGAAGUAAGAUAAUCAACAAGGCUUGGCCAGGUGGGAAAUAAUGGUGGUCUAGAUCAGACAGUAGCCAUGGAGACUUAGAGAAGUCACUGGAUUCAGGAUAUAUUUUGGAAGCAGAAGAAACAGGACCUGUUGAGCAAUUAGACCUAGGCAUUUGGGGUGGUGCUGGUGGUGGUACUAGGUGAAGGGAAAGCAGAAAUUGAGGAUGACCACUCAGGCUGGGGCUUGAACAGCCAGUAGGUUGUGGUAUCUUUUACGUUGUUUGUUGA